rnacentral:tRNA from 1 species
GCCUAGGUAGCUCAGUCGGUAGAGCAGUGGACUGAAAAUCCUCGUGUCGGUGGUUCGAUUCCGCCCCUGGGCACCA